GCCGGGCAUGGUGGCGCGCGCCUGUAAUCCCAGCUACUCCGGAGGCUGAGGUGGGAGGAUCGCUUGAGUCCAGGAGUUCUGGGCUGCAGUGCGCUAUGCCAAUCGGGUGUCCGCACUAAGUUCGGCAUCAGUAUGGUAACCUCUGGGAAGUGGGAGACCACCAGGUUGUCUAAGGAGGGGUGAACCGGCCCAGGUGGGAAACGGAGCAGGUCAGAAGUGACCAGAAUAUGAAAAUUAUAGAUAGGGAUGCUUUCAAAGACAAUUACUGAGAGACAAAUUACAAACAAGAGAACUU
ensembl:misc_RNA Metazoa_SRP Metazoan signal recognition particle RNA